CUGCGGGCACGGCGCUGCAGGCUGCGCCCUGCCACACCUCUGGCUCCAUCACCGGCUCCAUCACCUCCGCCUCCUGCCCACCUCCAUCGCUCCCUCUCCCCCGCCACGCCGCCGCCGCCGCCGCCGCCGCCGCCCCGGCCCCUCACCCCGCGCCGCCGCCCUCGCCCCGGCCCCGGCCCCCCCACAGCCGGCCGAGGUCAUUGUUCCGCCGCGGGGACCGGGCGACCCCCCCUCCGCCUACCGCCGCCGCUGCUCACCGUGCCGCGGCCAGGAGAGGAUGCCGAGCGGCGAGGGACGAGCACGGCGCAUCCAUAUUCCCGCCGCCGCGGCGGCUCCAGCACCGGCCCCGCCGGCCUCCUGCGCGCCGACGCUGAGGGCGGGCGCCCGCCCCGCCGCCUCCCCGCGGCGGAGGCCUGCGCUGCCGGGCCGGGGUCUGCGGCAGGCCCCGCCCCACCUGCCGCCGCAGCGCCGCGCGACCGGCCGCCAUGGCAACGCCGCGGCGGAGCGGCGGCGGCGAGGGGAGGCGGCGGCAGCGCCCGCGGAGGGGCUCCGGCGACACCGCCAGCCGCCCCCGCGGCCACCGGCGGGGGAGCGGGGGGCCGUCUGUCAGGGCGCCGAGCGCGCCCUAGCCCCGGCGGGGCGGUGUGGGACCCGCUCGGGGCGGGCCCGGCGACGCCGGCCGGGCGGUCGCUGAGGCCGAGGGGCCUUCGCCCUCCGGCUAAGAGCUGGGGCGGCACGAAGCGUCCGGAGCCUGGGGCGGGGGGGGGGGGGCCCACGGCGCUCGGGAGCUCCCCCGAAGUAGAAAUCCGGCGUAGGCCGGGGGCGAGAGAGGGCCUAACGUCCCCGCAGCCGGAAUCGCACCUCGGGCCCAAAAAGCGCCUUCCCGAAGGAGGGAGCUGCCAGCGAGGCAGGUGUCAGGCCGGCGUUCCCCGACGGAAAGGCAGCCCAUCACGUUCUGGGGAGCGAGCUCCAGCCCAGGCUGAGUCGAUCAGGACUGUUCAUGUAUGCCCAUGA
rnacentral:lncRNA from 1 species